rfam:Gossypium arboreum cultivar AKA8401 contig_50438_3, whole genome shotgun sequence.
AACCCAUGGUGAGGGCACCUUGUCAAUAAAUCCUUGUAUCUCUCCUAUACAUCAUAGAGUGUUUCUAGAUCCAUCUCCAUAAAAGAAGAGAUAUCAUUCCUCAACUU